UGUCUCAGUUCGGAUUGGAGUCUGNAACCCGACUCCAUGAAGCUGGAUUCGCUAGUAAUCGCGCAUCAGCCACGGCGCGGUGAAUACGUUCCCGGGCCUUGUACACACCGCCCGUCAAGCCAUGGAAGCCGGGGGUGCCUGAAGUGCGCUGCCGCAAGGAGCGCCCUAGGGUAAAACCGGUGACUGGGGCUAAGUCGUAACAAGGUAGC
rnacentral:rRNA from 1 species